CACGGUGAACCAUUAAUCGUGUCCUAUACAACUGCCUGCCCAGCUAAUAGUUUGCCGCAGAAAAAUCAAUUACAAGAUCAAUACAAGAAUACAAUACAGAUACCUAUCACAACACAUCACAACACAUCACAACAUCACAAAAGUAAUACACAUCACAACAUCACAAAAUUAAUACACAUUACAACAUCACAACCAAUAGAAUCUCAAUAAUAUAAUCAAUACUAAACAAUCAAAACAGAAUAUACAAAAUAAAUGCAAGUUAUACAAUAAUAUAUAAAUAUAAUAUCAUGUUUUCCUCGCUCGACCUCCUCGACCACGUCGCCUACCACGUCCGCGACCACGACCAACAUCAUGCUCAUCAAAAGGCUCCAA
rnacentral:lncRNA from 1 species